rnacentral:ncRNA from 1 species
GCAGAGUAGGACAGGGCGCGUGAAGUGCCGGCUGAACAGGGAGUUGUCAGCCAGACGAAAAGCGGCAGAGAAGCCGCUUGCGGUGCCAGGUCCGCAUCCCGCUGC